rnacentral:misc_RNA from 1 species
GAAAUGCGAUACGUGGUGUGAAUUGCAGAAUCCCGUGAACCAUCGAGUCUUUGAACGCAAGUUGCGCCCGAGGGACCCUCCCGAGGGCACGCCUGCCUCAUGGGCGUUAGAAGCCCAUCCACGCUCGGUUUGCCUAACUAACUAACGGCAAAAGAUGCGGACAUUGGCCCUCCGAACCGUAAGGCGCGGUGGGCCUAAGUGUGCGGCCGUCGUACGUGGCCGGGAGCGGCGAGUGGUGGGCUACUGCGCACGUCACCCCGAGCCCCGUACCGACGCAGGGCCUUGUUGGAAACCCCUAACGAGGAGCACGCCGCUGCGGCUUCCGCUGCGCGGUGCCUUCGGACCGAUACCCCAGGUCAGGCGGGGCUACCCGCCGAGUUUAA